GCUGCUAUGGCUCAGUCGGUAGAGCGUUACCUUGGUAAGGUAGAGGUCACGGGUUCGAGUCCCGUUAGCAGCU
rnacentral:tRNA from 1 species